GAUGAACGCUGGCGGCGUGCCUAAUACAUGCAAGUCGAGCGAACGGACGAGAAGCUUGCUUCUCUGAUGUUAGCGGCGGACGGGUGAGUAACACGUGGAUAACCUACCUAUAAGACUGGGAUAACUUCGGGAAACCGGAGCUAAUACCGGAUAAUAUUUUGAACCGCAUGGUUCAAAAGUGAAAGACGGUCUUGCUGUCACUUAUAGAUGGAUCCGCGCUGCAUUAGCUAGUUGGUAAGGUAACGGCUUACCAAGGCAACGAUGCAUAGCCGACCUGAGAGGGUGAUCGGCCACACUGGAGCUGAGACACGGUCCAGACUCCUACGGGAGGCAGCAGUAGGGAAUCUUCCGCAAUGGGCGAAAGCCUGACGGAGUAACGCCGCGUGAGUGAUGAAGGUCUUCGGAUCGUAAAACUCUGUUAUUAGGGAAGAACAUAUGUGUAAGUAACUGUGCACAUCUUGACGGUACCUAAUCAGAAAGCCACGGCUAACUACGUG
rnacentral:rRNA from 1 species